CAGAGAAUAGUUUAAGUAUAGAAUGCUGGUUUUGGGGACCAGAGAUGGGAUAUCCUUCUUUGA
rnacentral:tRNA from 1 species